CGGGCGUGGAUUAGGCAUGCAAGUCGAACGGUAUAAACCUUUCGGGGUUUAGAGAGUGGCGAACGGGUGAGUAACACGUAGGUAAUCUACCCUCAAAACGGGGACAACCCAGGGAAACUUGGGCUAAUACCGGAUGCGUGCAAACAAUGUUUUGGUCUGUUGUAAUUAUUCACGGAAGUGGAUAGUUAUGAGAGUUUCAGAGCAUAAUUUGCAUAAAAGGUGGCGUAAGCUGCCGUUUGAGGAUGAGCCUGCGUCCUAUUAGUUAGUUGGUGAGGUAAUGGCUUACCAAGGCGAUGAUAGGUAGGCGGCCUUAACGGGUGGUCGCCCACACUGGGAUUGAGAUACGGCCCAGACUCCUACGGGAGGCAGCAGUCGAGAAUAGUCUACAAUGGACGAAAGUCUGAUAGUGCGACGCCGCGUGAACGAAGAAUCCUUUCGGGGUGUAAAGUUCUUUUCUAUGUGAGCAGUUCCUUUUAUAUGAAGAGUAUAGAAGGUGGGAUUUAAGCAUAGGAAUAAGCAACGGCUAACUCCGUG
rnacentral:rRNA from 1 species